CGCAUCGUCCCUCGGUCCUCACAGCCGCCGCACUGCCGCGUUGGAUCUCGCCGGAGCCGGAGUAUCUCGCCGGAGUUUUCCAUAGCCGUUCGUCGGAGACGCCGCUCCGACAACAUGCGUCCUCGCCGGAGCACGGAGACGCCGCACUUUGCUCCGCCCGUCCGGGUCACCCCUACGCGCGCUGUCGCCACCACCAGACUGCCCAUGUCGUGUCCGUCCCGUUCGUCUCCUCCCCCACCGCCGAAGACCACCGCAGCCGCCGCCUUGUCACCGCCUGGCGCCAGCGCCGCCGCCCCUUGCUCAUCGUCGUUGCUCGCUAUUUUCAUCAGAGAGUGACGAAUAGUUCUAUUAAGUAAAUUUUUGAGAGCGAUAUCAUCUUCAUCAACUAUUACCAGGCAAGUUCACAUUUGACCAUUCUUCCAAU